AGAAUCAACGCUGGCGGCGUGCCUAACACAUGCAAGUCGAACGCGAAAGUGGAGCAAUCCAUGAGUAGAGUGGCAAACGGGUGAGUAACGCGUGGGUGAUUUGCCUCGAGGGUGGGGGAUAACCUUUCGAAAGGAGGGCUAAUACCGCAUGACAUCGCGCUCUUCGAUGAGCGUAGAUCAAAGCUACGGAACCGCAAGGUCUGGCGCCUGGAGAGACGGCCCCGUGUACCCGAUUA
rnacentral:rRNA from 1 species